rnacentral:rRNA from 1 species
CGAAGGGGGCUAGCGUUGUUCGGAAUGACUGGGCGUAAAGGGCGCGUAGGCGGCCGAGUAAGUCAGGCGUGAAAGCCCCGGGCUCAACCUGGGAACGGCGCUUGAUACUGUUUGGCUUGAGGACGGGAGAGGAUGGUGGAAUUCCCAGUGUAGAGGUGAAAUUCGUAGAUAUUGGGAAGAACACCGGUGGCGAAGGCGGCCAUCUGGACCGUUUCUGACGCUGAGGCGCGAAAGCGUGGGGAGCAAACAGGAUUAGAUACCCUGGUAGUCCACGCUGUAAACGAUGUGUGCUAGACGUUGGGGGUUAAGCCUCCGGUGUCGCAGCCAACGCGUUAAGCACACCGCCUGGGGAGUACGGCCGCAAGGUUA